UACGUAGGUGGCAAGCGUUGUCCGGAAUGACUGGGCGUAAAGGGAGCGUAGGUUGUUGUUUAAGUUAAAUGUGAAAGCCCGUGGCUCAACUACGGAACUGCAUUUAAUACUGGACAACUAGAGUGCAGGAGGGGUAAGCGGAAUUCCUAGUGUAGCGGUGGAAUGCGUAGAUAUUAGGAAGAACACCAGAGGCGAAGGCGGCUUACUGGACUGUAACUGACACUGAGGCUCGAAAGCGUGGGGAGCAAACA
rnacentral:rRNA from 1 species